GCGACGUGAUACAUACUUGUAUCAACGUUAAACCUAACCCGAUUCCAAGUGAAAUGUAUUUUUAUUUUCACCUGUACACUAAAUUUGCAAAAGUGUUAUCUGUUGUAUAGACAAUUUCUUCUAAAUGAAGUUUUAAUGGAUUUAAAUAAUGUCCUGAAAUUUUGUAGCGACAUAAAAUCCAAAAAAUGGGAAAGUAGGCAGUGGUUUGUUCGUCCUAUUAACAGCACACGAAUAGAGAAAGGAUUAUUUUCAACCACCUUUCAAGAAAUGAAAGAAGAUCCAGAUUUAUUUUUUCAAUAUAGUAGAAUGGAUCUAGAAACGUUCACUUACUUGAAACACUUGUUAGAAAAAUCUCUAUGAAAAAGAAAAAGAGUUGAUGUUAUUUCUGUAGAAGAGCGACUUAUAUUAACAAUCAGGUACUUAGCCUCUGGAGAUGAAAUCAUUUCUCUUGCCAUUCAACACAGGAUAGGAGAAUCAACUGCUCGUCAAAUAGUAUAUAAUACUUGUU